CCAAAGAAUUUUGAUUUACUACUAUAAUAUUUGUUAUCUCACUAUCGCUAGUAAUGGCUAAGCUCAUUACAUCUCUCUUGCUACUUAUGUUUUAUCUCUCUCUCGUCUCAGCUGAAAAGCUUUGCGAAACGAGUGCGAAAUUUGAUUGUAAAGUGGGGUCGGGAGGAAAAUGCUCAGACUAUUGCAACGUGCUUCUAAUUAGCCGUGGAUUGACCCUUUAUCGAGCUGACUGUGCAGUUACUGUUCCAACAAAUCAAACUUAUUGCAUAUGUUACUAUGAAUGUUAAUGUCAAAUCAUUGUAAUUCCUGGAUCAUAUUUAAUAAAUAAUAACAACUCUUAUUAUAUAUGAUUUCUAGUUAUAUUUUGUUUUGUUU